GACGAACGCUGGCGGCGUGCUUAACACAUGCAAGUCGAACGGAAAGGCCCUGCUUUUGUGGGGUGCUCGAGUGGCGAACGGGUGAGUAACACGUGAGUAACCUGCCCUUGACUUUGGGAUAACUUCAGGAAACUGGGGCUAAUACCGGAUAGGAGCUCCUGCUGCAUGGUGGGGGUUGGAAAGUUUCGGCGGUUGGGGAUGGACUCGCGGCUUAUCAGCUUGUUGGUGGGGUAGUGGCUUACCAAGGCAUUGACGGGUAGCCGGCCUGAGAGGGUGACCGGCGACAUUGCGACUGAGAUACGGACCAGACUCCUACGGGAGGCAGCAGGGGGGAGUAUUGCACAGUGGGCGGAAGCGUGAUGCAGCAACGCCGCGUGCGGGAUGACGGCCUUCGGGUUGUAAACCGCUGUCGCCUGUUACGAAGCGUGAGUGGCGGUAAUGGGUAAAGAAGCACCGGCUAACUACGUG
rnacentral:rRNA from 1 species